CCUACGGGGGGCAGCAGUGGGGAAUAUUGGACAAUGGGGGGAACCCUGAUCCAGCCAUGCCGCGUGUGUGAAGAAGGCCCUCGGGUUGUAAAGCACUUUCAGUGAGGAAGAACGCCUGGUGGUUAAUACCCAUCAGGAAAGACAUCACUCACAGAAGAAGCACCGGCUAACUCCGUGCCAGCAGCCGCGGUAAUACGGAGGGUGCGAGCGUUAAUCGGAAUUACUGGGCGUAAAGCGCGCGUAGGUGGCUUGAUAAGCCGGUUGUGAAAGCCCCGGGCUCAACCUGGGAACGGCAUCCGGAACUGUCAAGCUAGAGUGCAGGAGAGGAAGGUAGAAUUCCCGGUGUAGCGGUGAAAUGCGUAGGGAUCGGGAGGAAUACCAGUGGCGAAGGCGGCCUUCUGGACUGACACUGACACUGAGGUGCGAAAGCGUGGGUAGCAAACAGGAUUAGAUACCCCAGUAGUC
rnacentral:rRNA from 1 species